GGAAGUGGGGUAGGGGGGCUAGGUAGUGGGAGGAGGAAGUAUUGAAGAUUAUCUCUCCCCAGAGAGAAAAUAUAAGGAAGCCAAGGCAGGACACUGAUGGGCACGGUGCUGGAAGAAGACCAUGAAGGCACGAAGGUGAAAAGCAAAGCCCACAGACCCCUUUCCUCUGCAAUUGCUAUGACAAGGUAA
rnacentral:lncRNA from 1 species